AAAAGUGUGGGAUUUCAAAGGAUUAAGCUAAUAAAGGUAAAAUUUGUGAUUUUAUCUUGUGAUUUACACUACCCAUGCUUUCUUUUUCAUUUCCAUGCUUAGAACUCAAGUUUACAUGAUGAACCAAUGCUGGGCCGAAUUUGAGAGGAGAGGUUUGGAGCAUUGAUUUUGCUAGAUUUCAAGCUUAUUAAGUGUUUUUGGUUGUUUGGUAAUGAAAAGUAUGAAAAUCUAGCAAGGAUCACUUUGUUCUUCACAAACCCACAAGAGGCUGAAUUUUCUAGGGAGGAUAUUGAGGCGGAAAUUGAUGAUAUUUCAUGAUAUUUUGGUGUCAUUUAAUGAUUGGUGAGGCUAGAAAUUUAAUGGGAAAAUUUGGCAUGAAAAUCUGAAUUUUUACCUAAUGUAUAGACAUGUGCAAUUUAUGGUUCGGACUGAUAAAUUGAAUCAUAUUCACAGUCAUUGAGGUAUUUUAAUUAUAAUUGGAGAGUAGAAAGUGAAAGAAAUCGAUUUGGAGUUAAAUUGGAGGUUUUAGCCAAUUACACUGAGAAUACUGCGAAUUAGGUCGAAUAUCGUAUUUAAACGGCUAUUCUGACAUUUUGCAUCACAUUCGUGCAUUCAUAUAGAUUUAUAGAGCCUGAAAUAGUUUAAGAUAAAUUGACACAAUUUAUUGAAAUUCGUGUCACGUAUGAUGUAUAGGUGGUGAGCCCUCUAACAAGGGUAAAGAGAUUGUGCCCGAAGAUCGAGAAUAGGAGUAUAUCGAACUCCUAGUACUAUGAGUAACCUUACUAUCGUCUUAAUUAUCUAAAGUGGUUUUUAUCUGAUUUUGUGAAUUUCAUGGAAAAUGAAUUAAAUGAUUAAUUUUUCGAUUUUAUAAACCAAAUGUGAUUUAAUGAAAUGAUUUCAUAAAAUUGUUUUAAAAUUGAAUAAUGGCUUUGAAAAUAGAGUAAUUGGAGACCAUUUGAUGUAUUAUGAAUUGAUGGUUCUAAUUGAUUGGCUUAUGACAAUAUUGGCAUGAAUGGCUGAAUUGGAAUUUGUGUUGAAAUGUAUAAACUGUUGUUUGCCUUGACAGGCUGGAUAAUGAUGAAAUUGUCAUGUCAUGCUGUUGCAAAUUUUAUUGUAUAGUGGGUUUAGCUUGCUGCAGUGGGCUGGUUCUGUGGAUUAGCCUAUUAAAGGGGCACGAAACCUGGUCAUAUUCUUACCUCGGUUGGAGAGGCGAGUAGGGUAACUCUCGAGGUAUAACUUUUAGAGUUCACUUCACGCCAAACCACCACGUCAGGGCUAACUCAGCCAAUGCCAAGGAACGACUAUAUUUUUUAAAUAAAAAACAUGAUUUAUGAGUACAUAACUUUUUAAUAGCCUUGGCAGACCCGGUUUGGGAUAGCCCACGGCCAAGGUAUCCCUGAUGACUGAGUAUGAUGAUGAUUUUGGCACGAGCCAAAGUUUUAAGAAAUUCAUAAGCUAUGUUAAUUACUUGAUUUAUAUGAAUUGAUUUUAUUUGGUUGAAAUGAGUUUGAAAGGUGAUGAAUUUCAGUAUGUUAAACUGUUUUAUCUGUCUCCAUUUACUCGACUUUAGAUGGUUUAGAUGGUAUCUGUUUACUCACUAGAAUUUUAUAAACUCACCACCCUCCUUUUCAACCAUUUCAGGCCCGAGGUAGCCUGUGGAUAGCAGAUAUCGUGAAGGAUUUUAGUCGGCUUUACUACAAAAACUGUAGGUUUACUACCUUUGUGCACUUUUGUUGAUUGUGGGCCCCGAGUCACUGUAAAGUAAAUUUCAUAUCCUGAUCAUCUGUAUUAUAGUACGUAAGAAUUUAUUUAGCUUUUACAUUACAAAAAUUAUUUACUGAUGACGCUAUAAAUAUUGUUUUACAAGAAAUUAGAAUAUUUUAUUGAAUAUUUUUUUUAUUCAAAUAGUUGCAAUAUCAUUUUUAAUAAAUGUUUUAGACACCCAAAUUUAUUUUAAAUCAUGAAAUAUGUGUUUUCCACUCAUCUACUACAUCUUUAGUCAGGUUCGGAAAAUUU
rnacentral:lncRNA from 1 species